UUGUAUCAUGUACUGUAAUUCCUAAUGCUACCUCUAGGGACGUUGUAUUGUAAGAAGAAGAAGUGGGUUCAACAGAAAAGAAGAAGAAGGGGGACUGCUUUGUUAGGCAUGGACUUGAUUUCUGCCCUAAAACUUCAAAUAAAAGGUGAUAAUGUCUGCUCCUCGGUCAUGGCCACCAAUACCACAUCCCUGACAGAUACUGAAAUAGGAUGUGUAAAAAACUUUAGAUAUUACAGCUUUUAUCACUCAUGACGGCCUGUUCAGAUACUGCAGGGUUCCCUAUGGCCUGGCGUCGGCACCCUCAGCUUUCCAAAAGAUGAUGGCUACCAUCCUGGAGGGCGUACCAGGUGUCAAAAAUUACCUGGAUGAUGUUAUCGUCUAUGGAAAGACAUCUGAGGAGCAUGACUCGAACCUCAGUACUGUGUUGCAGAAAUUGAAAGAGUCUGGGCUGAUGCUAAAUGAUAAAAAAUGCAAUUUCAAACAGACUUCAUUGCGGUUCCUGGGCCAUAUAAUCAACGCUCAUGGAAUCUUACCUGAUCAAGAGCACCUAGAUGCUGUCCGUGAAGCUC